rnacentral:rRNA from 1 species
AUGUCUUUUGAGUACCUUCGUUUCCUCGGCGGGUCCGCCCGCCGAUUGGACACAUUUAAACCCUUUGUAGUUGCAAUCAGCGUCUGAAAAACUUUAAUAGUUACAACUUUCAACAACGGAUCUCUUGGUUCUGGCAUCGAUGAAGAACGCAGCGAAAUGCGAUAAGUAGUGUGAAUUGCAGAAUUCAG